rnacentral:rRNA from 1 species
AGUCGUACAGGUCUCCGUAGGUGAACCUGCGGAGGGAUCAUUACACAAAUAUGAAGGCGGGCUGGAACCUCUCGGGGUUACAGCCUUGCUGAAUUAUUCACCCUUGUCUUUUGCGUACUUCUUGUUUCCUUGGUGGGUUCGCCCACCACUAGGACAAACAUAAACCUUUUGUAAUUGCAAUCAGCGUCAGUAACAAAUUAAUAAUUACAACUUUCAACAACGGAUCUCUUGGUUCUGGCAUCGAUGAAGAACGCAGUGAAAUGCGAUAAGUAGUGUGAAUUGCAGAAUUCAGUGAAUCAUCGAAUCUUUGAACGCACAUUGCGCCCUUUGGUAUUCCAAAGGGCAUGCCUGUUCGAGCGUCAUUUGUACCCUCAAGCUUUGCUUGGUGUUGGGCGUCUUGUCUCCAGCUUUGCUGGAGACUCGCCUUAAAGUAAUUGGCAGCCGGCCUACUGGUUUCGGAGCGCAGCACAAGUCGCACUCUCUAUCAGCAAAGGUCUAGCAUCCAUUAAGCCUUUUUUUCAACUUUUGACCUCGGAUCAGGUAGGGAUACCCGCUGAACUUAG